UACAGAGGUGGCAAGCGUUGUUCGGAAUUACUGGGCGUAAAGGGCGCGUAGGCGGCCUCGUAAGUCCUGUGUGAAAUCCCCCGGCUCAACUGGGGAACUGCACAGGAAACUGCGAGGCUUGAGUUCGGGAGAGGGAAGCGGAAUUCCGGGUGUAGCGGUGAAAUGCGUAGAUAUCCGGAGGAACACCGGUGGCGAAGGCGGCUUCCUGGACCGACACUGACGCUGAGGCGCGAAAGCCAGGGGAGCAAACGGG
rnacentral:rRNA from 1 species